rnacentral:lncRNA from 1 species
ACCAAACUACCAAAGAAUCCUAAUUUGCACUAGGAUGCCAAAAACUGACGAGACACCAAUUGAUUCGUGUUGCACCGAGGAAGAAGUUGUGCACACGUUUAAAUCCUACUAACACAAGAAACAAGAAGGUGUUAGAUAACGUAAAGGAAGAAUAAAGGUAAACAAAUGAAAACCUACAGCUAAGAAUCAAUAAAAAUUGCUGAAAACAGAAAACCCGAAAAACUGCGGAGUAACUUGACAACUUCGUUCGAGGUGUUCCUGAUCUCCAAAAAUCACGAAAUUAAAUCUGGAGUGUCCUUAUAUAUUUAAUUUUUGAUAUGGAAAUUUUGGGCACCAAAUUCAACCCGCUGAAUCUUUUUUUUAAAUUUUUAUUGAAUUUCGUCUUUUUUGAUUUUUUUGACUUUUUUGACUGAUUUUUUUGCGGGAAUAAUUUUUUUAUAUUCAAUCACAGUGCCAAAAACAUGUAUGUAAAAUUUCAGAUCAAUCGGACAACGUUUACC